AGCGUGCGGACGUGUUUUUCGUUUUCUUUCCGACGCGCGAGCGACGCAUCUCGUGUCCGUUGUGUUGUGUUGUGUAUAAUUACAAAAGCCAUUAUUUCAUACCUUAUUACCUACCACCGAGCGCACGAGCACCGCACCGCGAGCGCCGCGACGGCCGGCAGUGUUGUGUUGUUAUCUUGAAAAGUGCCCUACGUGUUAGCAGCAGCAGUUUGUGUUUCCACUGUUGUAUUUUUUGUUUUUGCCAUUUCGUAACAAGAAACACAUCUAAAAAGUUUCUGCUGCAACAAAUUGAUAAAACCGAACAAAGUUGGCGAAGUGAUUUCCUUUCAUCAAGUUGUGUGCUUCGAAAAGUGUCCUACGUGGUACAUAGAACAAAACCGAGCGAGCUCACGGUGGCUCGCUCUCUCCUUCUUCCUUGGUUUUUUUUUUCUUAUCGUUCCUUUUCACCACCCCAUUUCCUGUGCUACAAAGGGCGGUCAACCCACUUUCCCUAAGCCGAGCACCUCGGGAGAGCGCAUUUUCCGCAUACACACAGCAAUCGCGAUACGUCACCAAAACUUCUUGUGCUUUCCUUCGUUCAGUAUCUGGUGAUAUCGUGGUGGAAAAGACGUACUAACGUUGUUCACUGGGUGCAGGAAAGUUCCGAUACGGCAAAGUGUAAAGUGCAACGUGCCAAAUUGUCAAAAGUGAAAGGAUUUCACCAUCCAAGAACGUGACAUAUCGCCGAUUGGUCGAUGAGGAGCAAACAGACGGAAAUGUCACCACGGAGUGCGAUUAACAUGUAACCAUAUGGUAGCCUACUUGGUUCGAGUAGCAUCCAACCGUGGCCACAGCUUGCUAGGAGUGAUUUGUCGAAUAGACACUGUUCGGAAAAUCGAAACAAACCUACUGACAUAAAGUGAAUGAAUUGAAGCAGUUCAACUAGGUAAAAGUACCGGCUGGUCGAUAGUGAGGUGCUAAAUGGAAGGAAAAUAAAUUCAAAUAUUGAAUGUGUCUUUUUUACCUUAACUGAGUGAACCGCCAGUCGUUAGCUACAGUGUUGAGCUAUUUACUAUCAUUUUUUUUUGCCGACCCUGAGUACGUGGGGCUUCGGGCAAAGUGUUUUGUAAAUAACCAGGCAGCCCACCAGACGGGCUCGGGAAAACGGCAGUAAGUUCGAGGAUUGUUUGUGUGAUAUGUGGUGUGCUGUGCUGUGCCGUAUCGUGUGCUAAUGGACAACCACCGACAGUGGCAGCGGCUGAAGUCAUCAACUGUCAACGGCGUGCCAUCAAACAAAGUAACAGUGAGUGAGUGGAAGAAAGGGGGGCAGGAAAACGUGGCGAAUGUCAGCAGGUGACGGAUUGUGCUGAAACGGUGGUAGUGUAACUGGUGGCAAGAACAACAGUGUGUGCGGCGAGAAGAGGGCUGUUUGUUGGAGUUCAGUGCAGUGUAGCAAAAACAAUGGCAGCAGUGUGGUAAAUUGGGAGCACUUUGGAGCAGUGUUAGCUGAAGGAAGGGCACCGCCAACAGCCAUAAAUCGUUUGGAAGACGACCGCAAAAGUUCAAUCAACCAACACAACAUCAUGCGACCUGCGAAGCCGGAAGCGGCAGUGGGACCAGCAACAGCAGCAACAAUAACGACGACGGGAACAUUCGAAUCAAAUUACUAGCGCGGCGAGUCCUAAACGGGAACAACUUCAAUCAAUGAUCUGACACACCACCAUAGGGAGCACUCGGAAAUCGCUACAUUCACCGCAAUGGAACAUCAUGGGCUGUUUACGGACAUAUCUAACAGUUUCCCCGGGAAUGGAGUUCUGCCAAAUACCAAUGUGAAGUAUCAUCACCUGCCGCAGAUCCCUCCCCAGCCACCGCCGCCGCAAGCCAGCACAGGGCAAGGUGGUAAUCCUCAGUUAUUUUUACCCCAACAGCAGCAGCAUCAGCAUCAACAACAGCCAACAAUAGGCUACGGUUCACAACAACAGCAACAGCAACAGCAACAGCAACAGCAGCAGCAGCAGGUGCAGGGACAGCAUGUCGAGUCAAAUCCCAUAGGUAGUGGUCUGUACCAUGACACUGCCGGACUAUUCGAUGCGACCAGCGCCCUCUGUGCAAACAAUAGCGGUAGUAACUAUAGCAACGUCAGCAACGGUAAUAACGUUAACAAUAGUAAGAGUAUUGAAUUCACUUCGCGGAAGUUUGAAACCAAUACAGGCGAUAGUAUAACGUACAAUAUCAAUAACAUUAACACGAACAUUGUGAAUAAUAUUAGCGGUGGGAGUUUGGGCACGAACGGCGUCCAAGGGUUAAACCCGACACAGGCCGCCAUCACGGGUGGCCCGGAAACGGACCUGCUCGGAAAUACCCAAUUUUCGACCACCGGUGGUAACGCACAGAUCUCGUUCAACAAAGACGGUGAUACCAAUCCAACGAUUAUUAACAUUAGCAAUAACAAUCAUAAUAUUAUGGCACCACCCUAUCCGUAUUCCUAUCAGGCAAAGAUCUCCGGAGUGGGUGCAUUGAAUGACCUAAACACUAAGUUUGGGACUACCCAUGGUUGGGCGGGUAAUGGUUCCUCCCAUAGCGGGAUCGGUGAAUUUGCUCACGACAGCAGUGUAAUCACUAAUUUUGAGGCUAAAAAUCCUAACAAAUAUCAUUCGAGUCGGAGCAGCUAUCGAUACCAGCAGGACUUUGCUCAAUCCAGUCAACAACCAUCGCCUACUGCGCACUACCAACAUAACUACGGAUUGUACCAUCCAGAAGGGGCGCAGGCAACUGCAAUCCAGCAACCGAAUGGUCACCAUGGAUACGAACCUUACCCACAUAUCGUACGCAACAAGUAUCCGGUGAUAGACGAAGUCAAUCGCUACGGACGCAGCCAUCAGGUUCAUUCUGCUAGCCAUUCACAAAGUCACCAUGAUCUCAUGUACAACGAACGAUCUCGAUAUCCUAAUAACUUCACUAGUGGCUACAUGCCACCAGCGGCAGGUUACUACACAACGGCUCAACCGAGCAGUAAAAGUGUUUUAAACCCCAACGUGGACUACUUCAACAGCAGCUACAUUAAACAAGCUCCACCAUUGAAUGCCCACCAGGCCAACCACUACCUACCGAACCGGUCUGCAUAUCAUCAUCAUCAUCAAAACCCCGCUCUGUCAAGUUACCAUCAUCAAAACUACACCAUAAAUCACAAUCCUACCUAUGAUGAUCCCUAUCAUCACAGAUCUCGACAUCACACCCUUUCGCAUCACUUCAACGACGGCCACCAUGGUCAACAGGCCUACGGAAACUACCCCGGUCACGCUACAAACCUUAGCUAUCCUCCCAACCAGAAACUAUCGUUCAGCAAAUCAAUCAACGAUUUCUACAGUCCAAAUGUCCCCACAAACCCUGCUCACCACUAUCCCAACCCACUGUCCAAUCCCCCAACGUCAACCGUUCAUCACACCCCCCACUACGGUAUCAAAUACACAUCCCAAACGAUCGUGCCACCUAUGAACCCACCGAAACCCACUUCCCACGCGAUCCCAACUUCGCAACCCUCGCAAAAAUCCGCCAAUAGCUGCUACUACGACACCCCAAAUCCCAUCAUCGACAUGAACCAUCCCUUGAUCGAUCUGGAGGAGCAGAUCAACAGUGUCAAAAUCCUCAAGGGCAGCCGAGAUACAACCACCUACGACACAAACCACGCCCUGAGCUACGACUGUCAGCAAAAGUACCUCAUGAAUCGUUACCUACAUUCCAAAACCUCAUCCUCAGCAUCUGCAUCCUCCGACGGGUAUGUUCCGAAUGGUGCUCACGCCAACCACCCGGCAAAUCUAACCAACUACGGUUACUCCACUAUGGAUGAAUUCGUCAUGGGAGCUCGCAGCUUCACCAUGGAUGAGAACCUGAAGGACAAAAACCUCCGCGAUUACCUAAGCAGUUGGAACGAAACCGAAGAGGAGGACACCGCCAACAGUGCCACCGGAGUUGACAGAAAGGAAUCCAACAACAAUCAACCAGCUCAUCAGAACUUUGAAUCCUGCAAGUACCUACAACAGGCGCUAGAAGAAGAACUACCGCCUCUGCACAGUGGAGUGAUCGUUGCUAACAUUCAGAACGGCACGGGAAAUCUGCCGGAUAUUUUGAUCGAUCUAGAAAAAACCAAAGAAGAACCACCGAAGGUUGGUCAGGAAACCACCGAAGUAGGCGAAAAGUUGUACAUCUUGGAGACGUACGAUGUACCACACUCGGAGUUGAACAAGUACAAACACCUUAGCGUGAUCAACGAACUGCCGAAGAACGUAGUAUCGAUCCACGAUAGUGCCGAUUCAUUAAAAUUCUUGGAGGAGAUCGAAUCCAACAGAGAUAAGUACUAUCAAACUGAGUUGGAAUCGGAAGUAGUCUACGAAGAGCGAAAGAAGGAAGAAGAGAAGAAGAACGAACAGUCAAUGCCGACGAUCGUUUUGGAUGAUGAUGAUGAUGAUGAUGAACAACCGGCAAAACCGAUGGAGGAUUUGCAAGAUAAGGUGACUGAAGAGGGACCUAAGGUAAAAGAAAAUGAUCCGAUGGUAGUUCAGCUGGAGGAAAAGGCGAAACAAGAUGAACAGAUAAACACAGUGAAGGAGAUAGAAUCGAAGCAAAAAGUCGAAGAUAGCUUCAAAAUUCCAGAAUACAUUCCAAAGUUCCGGAAACGCCACUUUGAUAACUGCGAUUAUCCACGUUUUCCCAAGAGGGCGCGGCAAUCGAAUAUCGAAGACUUCCACUGCAAUACGAGGGCACCGAAAGCGAAGGUUCAGCCCAAGUUCAAUCCCAAGACGUUGUUCAGUGUUUGCGUAGCGACACUGAACUCGCGGGAGUACAGACGCUACGCGAAAGAGGACCUAGCAAGAAGGAAGGAAUUGGCGGAAAGAAAAGCAGCUGAAAAUGCCAAAACUGAGCAGGAAGCUUCCGUGCAAAAAGCGGAAGUCAGUAGCGAGGAACAGGGCGACGAAGCGCACUCAGCUGAAAAACAGCAAGUUCAGGAAGAGGUACGUGUUGAACAACCCGAAGUCGAAGGUUCAAUUACUGAGAAUACAAUUGAGGAAGCCUCCGUGCAGAAAGAUGAGCACUUAGAGGAGCUUGCAUCGAUCAACAUUAAAGCUCAAAACGCGGAAGUCACUAGCGAGCAACAGAAAGACGAAGCGCAAUCAGCUGCAAAACAGCAAGUUCAGGAAGAGGUACGUGUUAAACAACCCGAAGUCCAAGGUCCAAUUACUGAGAACACAACUGAGGAAGCCUCCGUGCAGAAAGAGGAGUACUUAGAGGAGCUUGCGUCCAUUAACAGUAAAGCUCAAAACGCGAAAGUCACUAGCGAGCAACAGGAAGACGAAGCGCAAUCAGCUGAAAAACAGCAAGUUCCGGAAGGGGUACGUGUUGAACAAUGCGAAGUCGAAGGUCCAAUUACUGAGAAUACAAUUGAGGAAGCCUCCGUGCAGAAAGAUGAGUACUUAGAGGAGGCUGUGACGAUCAACAGUAAAGCUCAAAACGCGGAAGUCAGUAGCGAGGAACAAGAAGACGAAGCGCAAUCAGUUGAAAAACAGCAAGUUCAGGAAGAGGUACGUGUUGAACAACCCGAAGUCGAAGGUCCAAUUACUGAGAAUACAAUUGAGGAAGCCUCCGUGCAUAAAGAGGAGUACUUAGAGGAGCUUGCGUCGAUUAACAGUAAAGCUCAAAGCGCGGAAGUCACUAGCGAGGAACAGGAAGACGAAGCGCAAUCAACUGAAAAACAGCAAGUUCAGGAAGAGGUACGUGUUGAACAAUGCGAAGUCCAAGGUCCAAUUACUGAGAAUACAAUUGAGGAUGUAGAAGAAGAAUCGCCCAAAGAGCAGGUAUUACCAAGCAAAAGCAUUAUCGAUGUGGUAGAGGAAAAUGAACAAGAAGCCGAAAACGAGGUUAUUAGCAAAAACAUUGCGAAUGAAAUAAAUGAUGAAUCCGUCAUUGAGGAAAAGGCUUCUGUGGGCAAUAGCAAUGAUACGUAUUUAGAGGAGCAGGUAUCAGACAUUGAAGAAGAGAAUCUGGACCAACCAAAACAAGCAAGCGAAACUGUCCCUGUUGUGGCCGAAACCGUUUUUGAACCAAAAGAGCAAUCUGCAUUCGUGGAUGAUUCCAAACAAGAAGCUGGUAACGUCUCUGUGAUAGAAGUAGAAGACAGCGAUGACGCCGACGAGGGUGAUGACGUAUUUGAACCGGCUCCUGUGGAGCAGGUUUCCACUGCAGAAUGUGAAAGAGUGUCCGUAAUCGUUGGCGAUUCAAAACAGGUUGAACCGAAGCCUGUAGAGGAGACUGUAGUAGAAGUGAACGAUACAUCUAAAGAAAUUGUAGUUGAUACUCCUUCGUCAACACUUGAGGGGCAGUGGGUGCCCUUUAUUGAAAAAACUGAGUCGUGCGAGUCAAUGGAGCAGGAUGAAUCGCCGCCUUGUUUCAAUCCUUUAUCACUACAAGAAUUGACAAACGCAGCCUUUGAAUGCUACCGUGUGCUAUACGAUUACCAACGAGUUCCACCGCUGCGAACAAUCUGCUACGAGUACUUACUGGCAAACGACUUGCUUCCACAGCCUCAACCACUGCAGAAACUGUGCGAGCAGUUUAUCUGCAACAACCGCCAGUUGUUCAUAAUUGAGGAAGUUCGAAGUGAGCCGCCUCGGCUGCAGGAGCUUUGCCAGAAAGUGGUGAACGAAACGAACAUCAUUAUCGAUGUGAACGAUUUGUGCAUCAUCAACGAAGAGGAAUUGGUCGAGCAGGAGAAGGAAGAUUCGGGCAGAGUGUUCAUAGUUGAAGAAGACCAUGGAUCGAUCGAGGAUUUGUUGAGAGAAAGCGAAGACAUGGAAGGCGAUGUCGUCGUGGCGCCGGAAGAAGUGAGUGAUGAACAUGAGAUAUUUCUCGGUGGAGCUGACUGCAGUGGAAAUGUUCGGUAUGUACUAGAGAGCAAUCAUUCAUUGUCCGAUAGCGAAAACGAAAUCUACAGGAAAGUUGAACGUGAAAUCGAAAGGAUGAUGACUACCAGCUCGGACGAAGAGGAUGAAGCAGCUAGACGACCCGGUCAAACGCUAGACGAACAGGUGCUUGACAAUGAAUUCUACUCGUUCGUUGGCGAAGAUGAAUGCAUACAAUAUGAGGAGGUAGUUCCUAUCAACAAAGAAGCUCAUCGCAGGGAAAGUUUGAUAAGGGACCUGAGAGAAAAGUAUAUGAUACCUAAGGGUAGAUCUUUGACCUGCAGGUUAAAGUUGUUGCGAAAGUACGUCUAUUAUUUACGGUUCAUCCGAAUAAAGGAUCGAGGAAUGCAAUCGAAGCGAAGGUUUUUCAGCAGAAAGCUAAACUGCUUAAGGCGCAAGAUCGCAACUAUGCGCCGAAGUGCUGUCAGCGACGUAGACAGUGACAGCAACAGUAGCUCUGCGUCGAGUGCGAGCAGUUCAAGCAGUAGUGACAGUAGCAGUGGAAGCAGUUCAUCUGGUUCAGCCAGUGGAAACAGUUCAGAAAGCGAGGAAGCAGUGACGGAGGCUGAGAUCGUACAACGAUCCAGUGGAAGCCUUUCGGAGGAAUCGUCCAAUCAGUCCAGUAGCUCUUCUGUUGGUGAUCGCAUAAUCGAAACUAAUAACAAUCAACUAGACUUAAGUACAUUAACCAAACCGGCCAAGGUAGAAUCUCAGCAGUUUGCCAAAGAAGAGGACAACAGCAGUAACAGCUCGGACAGCAGGUCACGAGGAUUUGUCCGACGAUCCACUAAUAUUUCGCCUCUGGUGAAGAAAAAGAAACUUAGCUUCGCGGAGAGUUUGCUCAGCAUAGAACAGAUGUACAAAAAGACCAAUAGCCCAACGCCAUCAACGGGAAGCCCAAACACCUCAAAUUCCUCGUCACCCGCUGCCGUCAGGACACGUUGUUUGACUGCCGCAAACUGUGGUCCAAACGUUGUUGUCAACGUAAACAACAACCGUGAAGCACCAAGGAAGCUAUUCAUUCCGUCGUACAAAAUAUUCAACCAAGCACUUGCCAUACCUGUGUCCACUGACAACGGAUCGUCAAGGCCGAGCCACCGACGGAUCAGUAGACGAAACAGCAGUGGUAGUAGCGGCAGCAGUAGUAACGACGCUAGAAGUAAGCUUGCCAACUGCUCUCAACGAAGCAGCGGGCUCAUUCGGGUAAAUUACCCAAAUAAACCUUCACCUUCGAGCAAGGCAACGAGCACAACCACUAACGGAACUGCUACCGCCACGCUAUCGCAUGCCCUUCCGUCCGGCUUUGACCGACGUGUUCCCUUCGUCCGGCUAGAACGUAUCGAUUACGUCGAGAAACUAGCGGAAAACUAUCGCAAACAACAACAGCAGCAACAACAGCAACGGCAGCAGCAGCAAUUUGCGAAACAACGGCAACGGCGGAAAUCGACCUUCUCGUAGGUCCGCAGCGUGAUCACCACCGAGCAUGAUGGCAGCGAAACCUUAAUCCCACUUAUAUUAGGCCGCCCGUUGCGUGUCCGGCCAGCGUGUGCGGCUUAUCAAAGGCCAUUUGUUUUUGAUUUGCGCAUCGUUGUACGGAGCAAAUUGUUGUUGCUCUUGUCAUAUCAUUGUUGUUGUGGUUGUGAUGUUGUUUUCUUUCGCUCUACUAGGUUGUCGGUUGGUUCCUAGAUGUACAUACGCGAUGUCGAAAUGCUCUGGAAAAAUAGCGUGAGAUGGGUGGUGCGAAAAAUGGUUCACUUUUCUGGUUGACCGUGUACUGAUGUGUGUGUGUGUGUGUGCAAUUGAAUGACCGUGUCGCUGUAUAAACCGCAUGCUACAUGGUAGCUUGCUAUGUGACUUCUCGAUAGUUUGCAGAUCACAGCCGGCAGUAGGUAAGCCUCGACAUUGUCAAUAUGAUGUUUAUGAUGAUGAUGAUGAUGAAGGUGGUAAGCCUCGGGCAUGGUGAGGUUGUUGAUUCGAUCAAGCAUUUAUAGAUUCUGGAAGAAAUUUGCCAGCAAAUGCCUUAAUUGAUAUAAUGGUAAUUGUAAGCAGCUUUAAUUUGGCCGAUAGAAGGUGAUAGCUCUAUUUCGGAUCCAGCAAACCAUUUCAGCAUGUUUGUAAACUAACGCCCCAUGUAAACAAUACCGUUAUCAGAUAGAUUAUGUCACUACAAACUCACUUCUAGAUUUCACAACAUGCUGUUUCCAAAUCAAGCGCGCAUACAUUUGUAGUGGAUUUUUAGCUGUGUCUCAGGAAUGUCACUAGUUUAUUCACUCGCGGUAAUGAAAACAAACCCUUUCUUCGUCCAACACAGGAGCUUCCUACACAUGCGAAAUUAUUGGAAAAUUUAGUGAUUGACAAAUAUUCACCAGUGCAAUUGCAGUCAAAGUGCAUGCAGGAAAAUUUAAUACGGAACAAACACGUGCACGUGACAGCGUCAAUAAACAUUAUUCACUCUCGAGCUGAGCCUGCUGCGUUUUUAAAUAAUGAUGAUUGAAGCAAUGAUGCUUAAAGACUUCAGUGUUUAUGGUAAAGGUCGGACUCAAUUAUUCUGAGGCUUGAAAAAAAUGUCACUCCGGAUAAUCGAACUUUUUUUUAUUUCGUUGCUGUAGAUAAAUUAAAAUUAACUGCACUGGGUUCAUGUGCCCAACGGUUUAAAUUUAUUUUAUUUCUUGUUCCUGAAAUAACUGGCAAACAACUUUCGUUCUGAUUUUUGAUCAAUUUUCAUCUCACUUUCUUCAACAAUGGCUGAAACCACCCGCAAUUAUGAGUGGAUCUAUGAACACUCUCUGCGCUCAUCUGAUGCUUUGUUUAUUUGUUUAUUUGUUAUGUUUGCAUCAACAGACUAGAAAAUCGAACAUCGACGCUACUCGGUUGAACACUCGCUGCAAGCCAUAAAUAGCGCUCCCUAAGCUAGGAUUAGUUCGAAGGAGUGGAAGUCUCAGCAUAAGACUGUUGCGUAGUGACCGAGGUUGAACAUUAAUGUUCACAUGUUUCAGAAUUGCUUCGCAGUUGAUUCUUCCUUGCAGAGUAUCGGCGACGGUUAAGGCUCUGAAAACAUCUCUUCGGAUACGUAAGGGCUCGACAUUGAUCAAUUGGUAGGGACUCUCGUAGCUUGGAAGAGGAAAUGGGUAUCUCCAAGGCAGCUUACGGAGCGCGAAGCGAAGAAAACGUCGUUGCACAGAUUCAAUUCGCUCGGCCCCAUUAUUGUUGUUCGGGCUCCAGACUGCAGAGCACCCAAGUAACAAUUUUGGUUUAUGGGGGUUCUGUAGACCAUGAUUUAGGCUUGUAGAAUGCUACAAAACCGCGAUAAAACCUGCAAUGUUACUUGGGCAGUAUUCCAACGUAGAUCGUACGAGAGAGCAAUAGAGCGAUUUCAAGCAGUAAAUGUCUGUGAAGUUCUUAGUAAUCUUGAAGACAAAGCCAAGAGUUCUGGACGCUUUAUCGACGACAUACGAUAUAUGGUGUGAGUAUGUCAGCUUUGAGUCUAGAAAAACGCCUGAGUCUUUGACGCAAUGCACCCGUUCAAUAGUCGUGCCUAGUAGUUUGUAGUUGAAAAUAAUCGGUUGUUUCUUGCGUGAGAAAGUAAUGACUGUACACUUAGCUGGGUUGACCACCAGUCGAUUUAGACUGCACCAGUCAGCAAAGAUGUCAAUCUGAUUUUGAAGAGAACGGCAGUCGGCGAGUGAGCGGAUGCGCAGAAAAACUUUCAGAUCGUCUGCACACGAUAAUCGUGGCCCUGUGAUAACAUGGUCACCCUGGCUACCCUGAGGUAUACCGGACUUUGCGCAGAAGCUUGCUAAGCGACAAGUACCCAAAGUUACUGUCAGUUGGCGCUCCGUGAGGUAUGAACGAAACCAUCUCAAAAGAUUUCUACCGAUCCCUAGCCUAUCAAGCUUAGUGUAGAUAACGUCCGUUUGGGUCCGAGCAAUCAAACUGUCUGUUAUGUAAGACGUUAGGCACAGCAGGUUCGUAGUUGUGGAACGCCCAGUUAUGAAUCCGUGUUGAUCUAUAUAUUGCUUGCAAUGCGCAUUUAGGGACUCUAUGACAACCAAUUCAAAAAGUUUUGAUACAGCACUCAGCGACGUGAUUCCCCGGUAGUUGUUUACGUCACGUUUGCUUCCCUUUUUAUGAACAGGAAACAUAUCCGAAGUCUUCCAGCAAGACUGAAAGAUGCCGCUGGAAAGAGAGAGCUGGAAUAUGCGGCGCAGUGAAAAAUCUAAAAGACAAGUGAUGUUCUUUUCAAGAAUAAUCGACGGAACACCAUCGGGUCCAGCCUUAGUUGAAGUCUUAAGUUUAGAUGCUACUCUAGAAAUCGUAUCUGUAGUGCUGAGCGUUUGGUUAACCGAAGGAACAUUACUGGCCGCGAAAGUAAUGAGAUUAGCGGAAAGUUGCUCGUCUUCAAACACACUAGCAAAUUUGGCUGAGAACAGGUUGCAAAUGUCUUGUUGAUUGUCAGCAGUUUCACCAUUCAAAAUCAUGAAGGAGGGUAAACCGACUACCCUGCGUUGCUCAUUUACGAAGUUCCAGAAGGAUUUCGGGUGUGAUUUUAGCCGCCGUUGAAUCCUUCUUUGAUAGCGUUGAAAACAGAGACGACUUAACCGCUUAUACUCGUGGUUGAGUCUGACAUUUCAGCGGCCUUUGAAGCCAUUUGUUAAAUGGGUCCAUGAGCGCUAGUUGGAUUAACUUAACAACCCCCUGCUCUCUGCCGAUGAGCAAAAUUUUAUCAAAUUUGGAUUUACAGGAGACCUAUAAAGUUAGAAUGGGAAAUGUAUCGGUAAUAGAGCAAUACUGUUCAUAUAGGGGAAAUAUUCAAAAAAUAGCUCAAUUUUUACUAAACCUCGGAUAUAAGUGUAUCGGAAAAUUGAGCGUACACCCUAGUGGAACAGGACUUUGGACUUUAUUGGAAUAAUCUGUAUUAAGUUAGGUUUAUUUUAGUAAAAGGCACGAUUUUCAACUUUUUACCUAGUGCACGAACUUUAGUAAAAUUAAUGGAAUAUGAAUGAUCUUUAUUAUGACUAAAUAUGAGCAAAAUUUCAAAGAGCUUAGUUCAUUAUAUUUCAAGAUAUUAAGGUUUUUCAAGGAAAAGGCGUUUUUCUCAAAUAGCUCUUACUUUUAAUAAACGCAACAAAAUAAGUCCAACACUGUACCAAUAACUGAUAAAAUAAUGAUGAUUCAGCAGCCAGAAAUUCAGAAACGUAUCUCUUUAAAUUGUGCUUUUAAAGCUGUUUUUCUAAAAUUUAAGGACAUCUGUACGCUCAAUUUUGAGAUACACUGUAUAUUCAAUAUACUAAGCGGAACAACUUUGUCGAAAACCGUAAAUCGAUUCGACUGCUAGACAAAAAGUUAUUAUUAUUUUCAAGUGCGCCUCAGUAUACAAUACUGGUUAAAAUAAAGUACGCACCUCUGAUAAUGGCGAGUUUUCUUGAUUUUCUUAAUAUUUAUUAUAGACAGCUUUUUGACGUGUUCGAUCGAAAUUAGCAUUAUAAAUUUACUUUGUUCCAGGCCAUGAGAUUGGCCAACUAUUUGAUAGCAACAUUUAUUGGAAAACUGUCCUUUUCUUGAACAAAGUAAAGUACAAUAAAUUCAGCAUUUUCAAUGCUUAUUCUUAAAACGAAUACUUAGUAUGGCCACUAGAGUGAUGCAAAAUUUGAAAUUUUCUCUCCACAAUACUUAAACGAUUCCAAAUCGGAUCCUGACUAACCUCUCAAAAUUUGAACCCAUUUGGUGAGAAACUGAGAUGGCACAAACCAUUUGAAGUUUGUAUGGGAAUUACUAUGGUAAAACCAAGAUUUUUGUUCAUGUCCAUCUAAUAAUUCAUUUUAUCGAUCUGCUUCAAAAGUUUUGAGCUUUACUUGUAGGAAAUUUUUCCAGCUACAACUUUGCUAAAGACCACUUUUUGAUUAAAUGCAAGGAUCAAAAGUUAUCAUUGGUUCAAUGCGCUGAUGUCUUAUGAUCAUGCUCAAUCAACUGCUCAGAAGGCAACAUUGGUGUUUCUGGGGCGUUGAAUAGGACACAAAAAUCAUGGCUACUAUGUCACUCUGCAAAAUACAGUGUUGCCUAAAGAGCAGCUGCUUGAUCCUGUCAUAAGUUUACCAAUCUCUUGCAUAAUUAAUAACUUUUUCCUGUCUCGUUUUACUAUUUCUAUGUAUCUUGAGCAAAGUUGUAGCUGGGAAAAUUUUCUAUAAGAAUGGCUACCGAACUGUUUCGCAGCUCAAUAUGGAAAAAUACUAGAAGGCAAUGAACAAAAAGUUGAGAUUUCCUAUAGUAAUUUACAUAUAAACUUCAAAUGGCUUGUGCGAUGUCUGUUUCUAACCAAAUGAGUUGUAACUUUGGGAGGCUAAUCAGGACCCGAUUUGAAACCAUUUAAGCACUGUGGAGCGAAAAAGUCAAAUUUUGCAUCAGUCUAAUGGCCACCUUUAGCUUCAAUGAUGGCUUGCAAGCGUCUUGGCAUAAUUUCAACAAGGGCCGACCUGUAUCUUUAAAAUACGAUGGAAAUACUUAGCAUGCUAGAAUUGUCAAUUGCACUACUCAUUGGAGACAAACAUGAGAAAAGGGCCCAUGUAGGGUAGCUGACGGCUUCGGCAAUACCAUUACAUGCAUCUUGUUUUAGAGCAUCGAUGGGCCAAAUUUGAGCGCUUAGGGUGAUGGUCUUGCUGACGACAAAACUGAGCUAAACGUCGAUUCCUCAUGCAUCACAACACACUCAUAUUGUAGUAAGUAGAUAUAGCAAUCUUCCUCUACGAGAAGCUGCAGUUGCUUCGACUAAUGAAUUUUUCUCUAAAUCGACGAUCGACGAUCAUCAUUUCACGGGAGCUUCUACACGGCUUCGUACUAGUCGUACCAGAAACAAAAUUCAAUAUGAGAGCUCAAACUAACUGAACCUAAGUGUUAGAGGAAUUCGCUCAACGUUCGCUAAUUAAAAGACCUUUAACCUAUACUUCAUGCCUUUGAACUGAAAGUCUGCUAACGGAAACAAGUGUCAGUUAGAGGAUAUCUUUAAAAAUUGAGCGGUUCCAAAAUGUCAAGAUGCACUGAUGUGAUGAAUUUUAAUUUCACGAACACGGCCAAUGAGAUCAACCCAAACUUAAGUUAAGUUUACUCAUAAAUCGCAAAGAGUGCAGGAGCUCAGCGAUGAGAAAAUUUGUCUCAUGUUUUUCCAGGAAAAAAAUCCCGGAUAUGAAAAAGUUGAGUUCCUGCACUUUUUGCGAUUUAUGAGUAAACAGAACUUAAAUUUGGGUUGAUCUCAUUGGUCUUGUGGAUGUGGAAAGUAUGUAUGUAGGAGGUGAAAAUCCCCUUAGACGGAAAUUCCAUCAAUGAAAGAAGCUAAACGACCGUUCAACAAACACAACACACACAUUUUACCACUCACACCAUGCUGUUGGCCUCCUUUCCAAUGCAAUAAAAGCUCUUCUUGGUCACUCGCUCGCGAGCACGUGUUGUGUGAACGAGAGAGCGAUAAUCACCAUCUCAACGACCGCAAGCACGCGUCUGCGAUUCGCGAAACCUAUUCGAGCAGCAUGAACAGCAACCACACGCAUCACACAUCGUUAACUUGCGUUACCACCGAUAGCCGAAUAAACGUUAUUUUUCCGAGACAACAACCAACGGGCGUUAUGCGUUUUCAUCGAAUCAUCCCACCUACGGUCGUUGGAAACAACUCAAUACUGAAAGAAUUUCAACCAUUCUUGGAAAAAAAAGAUAAUUUAUGAGAGAAUAAAAUUCAUAUUGUUUGAUUUUUAAGUUUCUAAGUUGAUUUCAGCGGCCUCGUAUUCACAAAAAGAGUGUUACUUUGUUACGUUUUAUCGUGAUUUCAUAAAUCAUUGUCAAAUAAAUAAAUCAAUAUUUAAAAAAUAGGUAAUUAUUGAAAAAAAAAUACAGUUGAAUGUUUUGAAGGAGCAAGGAGUUAAAGUUUUCUGCAGCAAGAUUUCACAACAAAAAUGUACAUUCUGUCCAUAGAAUUCUGAUUGUUUCGUUGGGCAGACCACAGGGCAUUACUUUCCAUCUAGUCAAUAGAAGAAUUCACUUUACCAUUAAGAGAAGAAGAAAAGAACUGGACGAAUAUUUAUUUCUCCGCUGUUGUGGUGUUUUUAUUUCUUAGUGAAUAAACCUAAGAUAAUCUACUUAGUAUUAGUUCGACCAAUCACAAACCAAGUUUAUCAGUACAUUCCCCGUUUCAAACCCGUAGAGUGUAAGUUUUUAUUCGUUACAUUGUUUGUUUGUUCACCUUUUUUAAACCACCAGAAUUAGUUUUAACUCACCGAUUAGUGUAAUCACAACUACUGUUUGUUUGAUACAUUUAGCAGAGUACUAGACGUGUUUGGGAAGCUUCAUAUUACAAAUCAACCAUCCACAUACCAAAAGCUUGAAGUACACAAAUAUACGAGCAAACAAAGUGCGUAAAAGUCGAAUACCACACAUUGAAUUUUAGUGCCUUGAAUGACAAACUUUUGAUAACAUAGUACACACACAAUCAGAUUCACAGAUAUUAAUCGGAUAACUCAGCAACAAGAAGAACAACAAAUAUUUUGUGUGUACAAGUGCAAGAAUAGCUUUUUACAAAAUAAAACGAAAGAAUUAUGUAAUAAUGUCGAUAUUUACGGUAUACACAGCAAGUUUUUUACAAAAAAAAAUGAAAACAAAAUUUAAUCUAAAAAAAAUAAACUAAUUUAUCGCUGGAUAUCAAAGAUUGAAACGUGGUGGCAUUUAUCGAUGGCUUUAUUUUCUAGUGGAACACUGGCUAAUAAUAAGUAGCCUGCGCAUAUGCAACAAAACAAAACAAAACAAAACAAAAUGCAUAAUAAGGUUGAUAUUGUCGAAGGAUGUUAUAUUUGAAAACGUCUGGCUUGGACCAAAAAAGACCCGCAAAAAGUACUAAAACACAUUAGCAAAUGUUUCACACGUGGGUUGGUCGUGCGUGCGCAGAGGCAAUUCGGGUUUAAAUCAGAACAAAACAAAAUAAAAAUAAACAAGUAUUGUAUUGUAUCUAUUUUUUUAGUGUCUAUGUAAGACUAUUGUUUGCGAAGAAAAUACAAAAUGGAAAAAAAAAAAAAAAUAUAUAGUUUUUGAA